rnacentral:sRNA from 1 species
CAUGUGGCCUUGAGCCAUGAAAGGGAAGAGAACAAAGUGAAGAGGAAAAGGUUCGUUGUU